AGGCAGUAUCAUCGUUUCACAAUGUUUCCAUCAUCAUCAUCAGUGGAUGCCUUUGCCGUCCGUAGCCUGAGAUUUCAGAUUUGCAGCAAAAAAAAUAGAUUUUCUCAUUUAUUGGAAUGCUGUGCAGGUAUUUGUACCUUGCAGCCAUCCAUUACAAUGUCACCAAGCCGUAACAAAAGCAGGAGAGGGAAAGUACAAGGCUAUGUUCCCAAAACACAAGUGACAUACCUUAUGUGGAGGAUGUGAUCAGGCUUGUGUUUGAUGAGGUAUUUGAAGAUAAGCUGAAGGAAACCCUGAUUCCAAUGGACCUGGCAUCACAGUUUGAGAGACCUUCAAAGGAGGACGUGAUUGCAUGCCAUCUUCAGUGCAGGGGUCGUCGAAAGCCAAAAUUGUGACCGAUCUGAUCAGGAAGCUCCAAGCGUAUCUGGAGAACAACACACGACAGGAUGAUAACCUUAUAGUGUUGUCUUAAA